AUAAAUUUGACUACACAACCUUUUCGAUAACCACCCUUAAUGUUGUAUUUUUGAAAUGAAUACUAGCAUUUGGAGAAUAAACAAGUGGUUUAGAUUCACAGUAUUGUAUAUUUGGAGUAGUGGUAGUUUUUUUUUUUUUUUGGUUUACUGUGGAAAUCUUAAAGGUGGGUUUGAACAUUGAUCACACAGAUAUUAUUGUGGAAAACCAACUAGAAAUGGCUUUACUGAUGAAGUGAGUCAGCCCUUUAGCCGUGCAUUGAUUUCUACUA